CUUCACUCCUCUUAUUAUUUCUCUUUUACUAUAGCGAUUUAUUUUUAGAUACGCGAGUCUUUCAUAGAGUUGUUUUAUAAACGCAGUAACUUCAAUCAGCUCUGAAAGUUCCUGUCAGUGUUUAAAAGCUAAUUAUGAUUUAAUAACGUGUUGAAUGAAUUUGGUAAGAAAGGUAUUCAGUUUUUUUUACAUAGAGGUUAUUAAUAUAGGCUGAAAUAUAGUGAUUUUUUGUAGUGUAAAGGUGAUCUUAUGGUGCAUUGCUCGUUAAAAGUUAGUAUGUUAAUAUAAUAUAGAGAAAGAUUAUUCAAAUUAAUUUUUACUAUAUUAAAAUGCAUUUAUUUUUCACAUUCGUUGGUUGGACUUUCAGAUCUGCACUUCGGAGUCUGUUCGCGACUCGGUUGAUUCAGAUCGGCACUUCGGAGUCUGUUCGCGACUCGGUUGAUUCAGAUCGGCACUUCGGAGCCUGUUCGCGACUCGGUUGAUUCAGAUCGGCACUUCGGAGUCUGUUCGCGACUCGGUUGAUUCAGAUCGGCACUUCGGAGCCUGUUCGCGAUCCUGUUCGUGAUUUUUUUUAUUUUUUUUAUUCAGAUCUGGACAUUGGAGCAGAAAAUGUUGGUCAAACAUUUAAUUCGUCAUAAAUUAAUAUUUGGCUUUUUUUUUUUUUACCUGUCGAUUGGAUUUGUAAAUGAUUUCAAUGACUUUUGGAUGUCAAUACUUCUUGUACCUCAGUUGCAUGUGUUGUGUUUUAUGUAUUUUGGAUGGAUUUAUUAAUAUGAAAACGUCCCCUUUCAUCUCUCAGCCAAUGAGCGCAGCUCGUUCUGAACACAUUCACGCUUCGGCGCGCGCGCGCUCACUAAUAACUGUCAGAUUAGCGCCGGCGAUGAAUCACGGGUGUAAACCGUCUGAGCCCUGAAGUUCAUCAGACACCGGACAGGUCCGACACACGGAUGCCCAACAUGAGCGAGAGGUUUAUGGUCGUACCGGUGGCACACGCCGAGGAGAGCGCGUUUGGAGACGAACCGGACGGAGACUCAGUGUUUGACGCCGGAGCCGAUCUGCAAGAAUUAGAGAAAGAGAAAGUAAACCUGGUGACUGAAGCUUUUGACUGUGUGGAAACUCUGGAGAAGAUCACACUCAAGAGUGAUUCACUGCUCACACUUCAGCACAUUGAUUUUCUGAUUGAGAAGCUGAAGGAAAUUGAUGAACCUGAAAAGGCCAAAACACUGGAAAACAUCAAGAAGAGAGCAGGAGAAAAACAUGUCUUUCUAUAUAAUCAUUCAUUGUUAAUUAUUUAAUGAAUCUAACAUUUAUCUAUAAUCCAUCUUAUACUGUAUCUAUACCCUAACACUUGUUUUUGGUUUUUCUUCAUUUGAAAGUUGCUUUGGAUAAACAGCAUCUGCUGAAUUAACUGAUGUAAAAUACGAUGAUUACUGUAGCAUUUGUCCUGGAAUAAAACUCAAACUGUAUACAGUAUAAUCUAAUCAGUUUAUAGAGUACAAUACAAUUGAAAAUGUAACAAUUACACUGUAAAAGACAACCAAAAUAUUGAAAUUUAUCAUGAAAUUAUGUGUGUGAAAUAAUGGCUGAUUAGGGACUGUUUUGAUUGUAUUAUUAUGGGCUGCCAUCUAGAGGUCACAUGAGAAAAUGCUGCAUUUUUUGUUUUUCAGGUAAUGAAAAAAUCUGAGACGGUCACAGAAGCUCUUGUUGGACUGACUGUGUUGUUCAUGAUAUUUGUGCGCCUUUCACUGUCAUGUUUAUUGCUUCAUGUUUUUUCUUUGAAAUAAUACUAAGAUCUUAGAGAAUAUGCAGCAGAAAUAUGAAAUGAUUUCACUUGUAUCUAUUAUGAAUAAAGUAAUACAAAUUUUCCAGAAUAUCCAGAAUCAUUAUUUCUAGAAUAUUCUUUUACAGCAAUGUCUUGUCAGAACCAAACUCAUCCAGUCUCGAUCCCAGUGUGUGUUGUGUGUAGAUCAGUAGCAGAAUGUGAAUCAUCCCGUCACUCUUUGUCUGUCUCUUAAAAUAACUCACAACAGCUGAAACAAAUCCUGAGAGACUGGAACAGUUAAUGCUGAUGACUGAACAAAACAUGACAACAAUAUAAUAUACAGCAUAUGAGGGCACAACCAGACCCAGUUCAUACAGUCAUUCAGAUUUCACAGGUAAAGUUGACUUGGGUCAAACUAAUAAUAGUUAUAAUAGGUCAGAUCAUGUUCCUGUUUUCCAGCAGUGAAGAGGAAACUAUCUGUAGUCCUGGACCGGGUCCUGAUUCAUAGAUCCUCCACGCUGUGUUUUCAUGGGUCUGACCAAUCAUUGUCUGGGAAUAAAGAGGAGUGGAGCUCUUGGCAUCCCAACCAUGCAGUUUAAAUGAAGCUUCAUUUAAUCUUUUCCUUCACAAACAGUCCCACUAAACAAAAACAUUAUACAGAGUCUAACAGAGUGUCUUUAUUUGACAUCAUGGAAAUAACGUUUCUCUGUGUGACUCACGUUCAUCUGAGCCAGUAUCAUCAUUAAAAUCAGCUCUUCAUCAUGUUGUGUGUGAAGAGCUUCUGUAGAUCUGGAAACUCCUCAUACGAGUUACUCAUCUGUAUCUAUGAGAAAAACACACGACACAAAAGGGAAACAGAAAGUGGAUGUUAAUGAAGCCACAGGCUCAUGUGAAUAUGAGUUUAUAUGAGACACACGUCUAUGUCAAACACCAGAGAACAUCAGCACAGGAAAGAGUCUGUCAUUAAUCAUUUAAAUAAAACAAUAUUUCCAUUAGGACUAUUAAACAAUAACUGCUAAAUGUUCAUGUAUCUGUGUUUACUGUUUAUAAAUAGCUUGUUUAGUUCACAAAUAAUGAUCUUAAUAACAAACUACAGAACAAAUGACAACAAAAACAGGCUUACAAAUGUCAACAAGUAACUCAAAUAGAGCAGAAUUUGUAUUUUUAUUAUUUGUCUCAUAAGUGAUUCUCCAUCAGAAAUAUACAAACUGUUUCCAGGGAUAAUCUUUGCUUGUUUUGCUUAGCUAAAUCUUAC
ensembl:lncRNA